rnacentral:other from 1 species
AAUUCCCUGGGAUGUGCGUCAGCCGGUUUAAGUCCCCGAGCCGAUAAUCAUACCCAACAGGGGAUCGGCCUUCUGGCUAUUGCGCAUGCUCGGCACGACCGAGAAGCCUGCGGUCAGAUUCGAUUCCCGCCUUGAACCUACGGUUCAAGGGCCCAAACCGGCAACGGCAUCUCCGGGGUACCA